rnacentral:rRNA from 1 species
UACGUAGGGAGCGAGCGUUGUCCGGAAUUACUGGGUGUAAAGGGAGCGCAGGCGGGAUUCCAAGUCAGGUGUGAAAUGCAGGGGCUCAACCCCUGAGCUGCACUUGAAACUGUAGUUCUUGAGUGAAGUAGAGGUAAGCGGAAUUCCUAGUGUAGCGGUGAAAUGCGUAGAUAUUAGGAGGAACAUCGGUGGCGAAGGCGGCUUGCUGGGCUUUUACUGACGCUGAGGCUCGAAAGCGUGGGGAGCAAAC